rnacentral:rRNA from 1 species
UACGGAGGGUGCAAGCGUUAUCCGGAUUCACUGGGUUUAAAGGGUGCGUAGGUGGGCAGGUAAGUCAGUGGUGAAAUCUCCGGGCUUAACCCGGAACUGCCGUUGAUACUAUCUGUCUUGAAUAUAGUGGAGGUGAGCGGGAAUAUGUCAUGUAGCGGUGAAAUGCUUAGAUAUGACAUAGAACAUCGAUUGCGAAGGCAGCUCGCUACGCUAUUAUUGACACUGAGGCACGAAAGCGUGGGGAUCAAACAGG